rnacentral:rRNA from 1 species
AUUGAACGCUUGCGGCAUGCUUUACACAUGCAAGUCGUGAGGGGUGUGGUGCUUCGGUACUGAUCCUAGCGGCGGACGGGUGAGUAAUGCUUAGGAAUCUGCCAUUUCGUGGGGGACAACAUUCCGAAAGGAAUGCUAAUACCGCAUACGUCCUACGGGAGAAAGCAGGGGAUCUUCGGACCUUGCGCUAAAUGAUGAGCCUAAGUCGGAGUAGCUAGUUAGUGGGGUAAAGGCCUACCAAGGCGACGAUCUGUAGCGGGUCUGAGAGGCUGACCCGCCACACUGGGACAGAGCCACGGCCCAGACUCCGACGGGAGGCAGCAUAGGGGAAUAGUGGACAAUGGGCGGAAGCCUGCUCCAGCCAUGCCGCGUGUGUGAAAAAUGCCUUUUGAUUGUAAACAACUUUCAGAGAGGAGGAAGGUGUGUGUGUUAAUAGUACACACCUUUGACUUUAGUCGCAGAAGAAGCACCUGCUAACUCUGUGCCAGCAGCCGCAGUAAGAC